CGCCUCACCGCGUGCACUGGUCCGACCGGGUCUUUCCUUCUGAGGAGCCGCAUGCCCUUCACUGGGUGUGUCGGGGAAUCAGGACUUUUACUUUGAAAAAAUUAGAGUGUUCAAAGCAGGCCUAUGCUCGAAUACAUUAGCAUGGAAUAAUAGAAUAGGACGUGUGGUUCUAUUUUGUUGGUUUCUAGGACCGCCGUAAUGAUUAAUAGGGAUAGUUGGGGGUAUCAGUAUUCAAUUGU
rnacentral:rRNA from 1 species